UACCCCUUUGUUUUGUUUCUGAGGCCAACAGGGCUGCUUGAUUUCCUGGGGAGGAGAGGAGGAGGGCUUAGAGGCUCAGGUUUGAUGUGUUAAGGAUGGCUUGCUACAUCCCUGUGAGCCCUUCCCAUGCAGUUACCCCAAGGAGGGAAAUCCAGGCUUUAGUCCUUCCCUUUCAGGCACGGCGGAGUGAGAGGGGAACUCGUAAGGUGCUAAAAAUGCUGCCUUCCAGUUUUCAAGGAGAGGUUGCAACCUUGGCAAAAGCUUUCCUGGAAAGGGACCCUGCACCCUUCUCUUUUGUCCGCUCUUUGGUUUCCUUUGUGCAGCUGUUACUCCUGCCGAGGAGUUGCAAAGGUGCGUGGCUGCAGUGGGAGCAGCACAAACUAAUAACAAAAUUCCUUACAGGGUGAAAUGGAGCCGUUUUCUACAAUACGAGUGUCUAUGAAAGCACUUAAAUACCUUGGACCUUCAUUGCGCCCUUAUUUCUUCUGUUCUUUACCCCCUCCCCCCCCAAUUUCAUUUUAAUUAAUACGUGAAGACAUUUUUCAUUUUUCCUCCUUGCAUCUUUUUGCUGGUGAAUUUACCCAGAGCCAUUCUGUGGUUCUACUCCCUAGUUUGAAUGAGCUUAUGCACAGUAGGAGAAUGACUUUCAUCGUCCAAAAAUCAGCUUUACUUGUUCUCCCCUCUGUGAGGGAUGAGGCCAGGCCUGGCUGCCGUCAGACUGGCUGCCUGCUGGCGAUGUUUUCCAUAAGGCUGCUGGGCUGUCCCCCGUGACUUGUAAAGGGAAGAGUUUUGGACUAAUAACUAACUCAGUGACAUAAUUUUGGCCUUGAAAGUGAUCUGGGCUAGUUUUCUUCUGGUGAACUUUUUUGCUACUUGUAAUCCCUUAAAAGGCGUCUAUUUUUGGCUGCUGCUUUGUUAUGGGAAGAGGAUAUGACAGCAGCAAGAGUGAAGUGUUCAGGCAGUUUUCGUGUUAUUUUUGUCUGCGUUUUUCGAUGUCAAGAAGCUGCAGCAGUGUGGGGAGGUACAGCAUGUCUGCUUCAGUGAGUUUGGUACUGAGGCGGUGUAAACUGGAUCAGGAGGUGCUGCAGGAGACCAGCUACGUCGGUAGAACCAGCUUGAGGUGCAGCCAGGAUGUCUUUUUGGCCAGGAAACGUGUUACUCCUAACAACCUACCAGCCUACACCUCCCAAAACCGAGUGCGUGAGUGCUUGUACUUCCCCAUGACUGAGUACCGUUUUGAAGGGAUGCCAGAGACAGCAUAG
rnacentral:lncRNA from 1 species